ensembl:snRNA U6 U6 spliceosomal RNA
ACCUGUCACCUACAUUAGGUAUAAAAUUGAAAUGUUACAGAGAAGAUUAGCAUGGCCCCUGUGCUUUUCAAACCGGGAAACAGUUUUUU